rnacentral:lncRNA from 1 species
CAACUUCCUAAGGGGAAUCAUCCUAUGGGAUAUGCAGUGCAUGCCCGGAGUCCUUCAAGGGGGACCCUGGUACUCACAAAUCUCUAAAGGAGGACAUGCAAUCAAAACAUAGGCUGGUUACUCAAGCAGUUCACAAGUCAAAUAUGCAAGUUGAAGUUGGAAAAUGUAACUGAAAUUUCCAUAACAAACAGACCAACCGGC